AUGCUAGGGGCAACGCCUGGUUAUGGUUCGGUGGGGCGCUCUCAGGGACUCCUUCAUGCUUGGUAUAUGGAUCCUCAUGAUUACCAGCUCUCCGUGUGGGUGCUCAAGGAUUAUGCUACUGAAGAGUGGACCCUAAAGCAUACCGUCGACGUUCCAAAACUCUUUGAAGAAACGGAAUCCGACCAACAAGAGGAUUAUCGUCGCCAAGAGGAUGGCUCCUGUAAGUAUCAGAUGUUUGCAAUUCAUCCGGAAUACAACGUGAUUUUCAUUACUGACUGGAAGAUGGUGAGUCUGUCGUACAACAUGGACAGCGGGAAAGUGCAUCCCAUGUGCACUUCUGGAGAUUUCUUUGGUGCUCUACCUUUUAUUCCUUGCUUUGCGGAUUUGGCUCACGGAUGA
rnacentral:rRNA from 1 species